rnacentral:rRNA from 1 species
AGAGUUUGAUCAUGGCUCAGGAUGAACGUUGGCGGCGUGCCUAAUACAUGCAAGUCGAACGGUAGGUAAGCACUUGUGCUUACUGAGAGUGGCGCACGGGUGAGUAACACGUAACUGAUCUGCCCUGUAGACUGGGAUAACCUUUGGAAACAGAGGCUAAUACCGGAUGAGCUCGUGAGGUUUAGAGAAUCACGAGGAAAAGCUGAGGUGCUAUAGGAUGAGGUUGCGAUUCAUCAGCUAGUUGGUGGGGUAAAGGCUCACCAAGGCGAUGACGGAUAGGGGAUCUGAGAGGGUGGCCCCCCACACUGGGACUGAGACACGGCCCAGACUCCUACGGGAGGCAGCAGUAAGGGAUAUUGCACAAUGGACGGAAGUCUGAUGCAGCGACGCCGCGUGGGCGAAGAAGGUUUUCGGAUCGUAAAGUCCUUUUCUAUGUGACGAGAAUGGACGGUAGCAUAGGAAUAAGUGUCGGCUAACUACGUGCCAGCAGCCGCGGUAAAACGUAGGACGCGAACGUUAUCCGGAGUUACUGGGCGUAAAGCGCGCGCGCGCGGUGAGUUAAAAUUACCUAUGAAAGGUACCCGGCUAAACUGUUAUAAGUUAGGUGAACCUGGCUUAU